CAGCGGGAGAUAGACCCGCCAAGGUAAGAGCCAGGAACCUUGUAGCUUGGAUGGCAGGGAGGAGGGAAACUGAAUCUCUGAAGCCCAUCGACAACGUUAUCUUCGGGAUGACGGCGAGUCACCGGGCCGCAGCGAAA
rfam:Candidatus Entotheonella sp. TSY2 genomic scaffold TSY2_scaffold00437, whole genome shotgun sequence.